UGAAAACUGAUACAUUGGAACCCCUGAAAAAUUAGGAGACUCAGAACAAGUCUUCCAACAUAUUGGGAUUCCUCUCUGGAAAGGAAAGCAAUAAAGGACAUAUCUGGAAAUUACAUUGAUUUUGAAAUAAAAGGGAGAAGGUUGUUCAACACUAGCAUACCACUGGUGUCACCUCUUCUGGUAGGAAUACAGGAGUAUUCCCAAUUGGAAAAUGAUGGCACACACCAUCGAGAAGAUGGAGGUGAUAUACCAAAGGCAAAAUCAAGCAGUAUCUCCUGAAGAGAGAAGAGAAAGGAAGAAUGGAAAGUAAUUAGAAGUUUUCAUUCCUCUAGGAGAAUUUCCCACAAACAACCACUGAAUAAACCUAAUAUUUAUAUUAGAGCUUUGCUUUGAAUCUACUAAUUGUUAUCAGUCACUUGCACAGGUUGUUUAUUUUGUUUCAGUUUGUUUUUUGUUCAUUCUUGUGAGUUCAUUGGUGUAGGAAACUCCUUCUUGUUGGUCCUUCGUUCUUCAAGAGGACCAUGACAUCAGGAAGGUGAUGCCAUGACUUGCAAGUGAAUUGGAUUUAAAUGAGACAAGGCUGUG